GGCCUAUGAUAAAUUCCUUUAAUUUUGGACAUCAUGUAUAAUAACAGCAUGCACAUUCUGAUUUCUUUGCAGGACUGAGGCCU
ensembl:snoRNA